UGCCGCGUGGCGCAAAGGACAACGCGUCGGUCUUCGCAACCGAAGAUUGCAGGUUCGAGUACUGCCGUGGUCG
rnacentral:tRNA from 1 species